GUACUUGCGUGGAGGGCAGACACCAUGGUCACGAAGGGGUCUUCCCAGGGCGAGGCUCAUCCACCGCCUCCGGACGUGCUGAGCCCUGCGAUUUCCCCAGACGUGGGAAACGCGACUGCGUAAUUUGUGGCAGUGGGGGACUGUUCACGCUUCCCUUG
ensembl:snRNA U1 U1 spliceosomal RNA